rnacentral:rRNA from 1 species
GUGGGGAAUAUUGGGCAAUGGGCGCAAGCCUGACCCAGCAACGCCGCGUGAAGGAAGAAGGCUUUCGGGUUGUAAACUUCUUUUACCAGGGACGAAACAAAUGACGGUACCUGGUGAAUAAGCCACGGCUAACUACGUGCCAGCAGCCGCGGUAAUACGUAGGUGGCGAGCGUUAUCCGGAUUUAUUGGGUGUAAAGGGCGUGUAGGCGGGACAGCAAGUCAGAUGUGAAAACCAGAGGCUCAACCUCUGGCCUGCAUUUGAAACUGUUGUUCUUGAGUGACGCAGAGGUAAUCGGAAUUCCGUGUGUAGCGGUGAAAUGCAUAGAUAUACGGAGGAACACCAGUGGCGAAGGCGGAUUACUGGACGAUAACUGACGCUGAGGCGCGAAAGCGUGGUGAGCAAACAGGAUUAGAUACCCUAGUAGUCC